GAGUAAAAGCAGCAGAAGAAACGCGAAAAUACUGGCGGGAGUGAAUCGAACCCGUGUCCAAUUAGCCGGAAUCGCAAAGUUUCGAAAAGAGACGCUCCAGAGAUUGCUAGAGAGAGUUGCGAGCGAGCGAGCGAGCGAGCAAGCAAGCUUUCGUCAAUGGAGGAAUUGCGGAGUGCACUUCAGGAGCGGGGCCUAACUAUUUCUAACUUCCCAAAUAAAGGCCGUUGUCUCCUUACCACGAGAGAUUUCUAUCCAGGAGAAGUAGUUAUAAGCCAGCAGCCUUAUGUUUGCGUAUCAAAUAACUCCUCGACUGACUCAAGAUGUGAUGGAUGCUUUACAACGAGUAACCUUAAGAAGUGCUCAGCUUGUCAGAUUGUAUGGUACUGUGGGAGCACAUGCCAGAAGUUGGAAUGGAAGUUGCAUCGACUUGAAUGCCAAGCACUGUGUAGGCUUGAGAAGGACAGGCGGAAACUUGUUACACCAUCUAUACGAUUGAUGUUGAAGCUGUACCUUCGAAAAAAAUUACAGAAUGAGAAGGUCAUAUCAACUACAGCUAUGAACAAUUUCAAGUUGGUGGAAGUACUCGUGGCCCACAUGUCAGAUAUUGAGGAGAAGCAACUGGUACUAUAUGCCCAGAUGGCCAGCCUUGUCAACUUAAUUCUUCAAUGGCCUGAUAUCAACAUAAAAGAGAUCGCAGAGAAUUUUUCUAAGCUUGCAUGCAAUGCACAUACCAUUUGUGACAGUGAAUUGAGGCCCGUAGGAACAGGAUUGUAUCCUGUUGUUUCUAUAAUUAAUCACAGUUGCUUGCCCAAUGCUGUUUUGGUCUUUGAAGGGAGAGUAGCUGUGGUACGUGCUGUACAAAAUAUUCCCAAAGGUUCUGAGGUCUCCAUAAGUUACAUAGAAACCGCUGGAAGCACUAUGACUAGGCAGAAGGUUCUAAAAGAACAGUACUUCUUUGAUUGCACUUGUCCUCGCUGCAUUAAAGUGGGUCACUCCGAUGAUAUCCAAGAAACUGCAGUCUUGGAAGGUUACCGGUGUACAGACAAUGGAUGCAGUGGUUUCUUGCUUCGAGAUUCUGAUGGCAGAGGAUUUGUUUGCCAAAUCUGUGGCCUUCUUAGGAGUAAGAAUGAAAUAGAAAAGACUGUAAGUGACAUAAAAGCAAUAUCAGACAAGGCUUCUACAAUUCCUUCCCCUGUAUAUGAGCAAGAAGCUAUUAAGGUGUAUAAGAUGAUUGAGAAUCUACAAGUAAAACUAUGCCAUCCUUUUUCGAUCGACUUGAUGCGCACUCGGGAGAAACUUCUUAAGUUGAGGGAGGAGUUGCAUCCAUAGUUUAGAAGAAUGACAUCUUCUCCAGCUAGUUGAUAUCAACUAUGCAAAUCUCUCUAAUACUGGUGGCUAAUCAUUGAGGGGUAGAGUUUGAAUUUUAGCCCUGAUAUUCUUGAUCUUGAUGGAGGUGAAAAACUGGAGAGAAGCUUUGGAAUACUGCCGACUAACCAUUCCGGUUUAUCAAAGUAGUUUUUUGGUUCAAAUUUGAUUCUGGUUCUGGAUAAGAAAUAAAAAGGACCUUGCUGGUGAAAGAAAAACCUGCCUUCAAUUCUGUUAACUUUCGAGCUUACAAAUAUACACUGAUUGCUUUUAAUAUAAGGUGUGCCGUGCGCAGGGUGCUAGGUCUAGUCCUUCUAAAGUCAAAUUCUCAUGACUGUCAAAAUAUCUCAGUAAUCCUUAAAAUUCUAGAAACAGAUAAGUUUAUGCAUGGAACCUUAAAAUAUUCUUAGAUUUUGACAGUUUUUUCUCCUCAAAUCUCUCUUGAACAGCUUGUGCAGUGUUUAGUGGUCAUUUCAUGCUGUCAGAUCAAAGUGAAUAUCACGAGAUAACAUGAAAGACUCUAGGAGUAAUUUAGCUCCAUACUAGAAUAAUUAACACAUAAUGAAUCUUAACAGAAUGCUCCUAUUCAUCCCAAUUUCUGGUGCAUCAUCUAUUCUAGUUCUGUUUUAUUUUCCUUGUUUAUUGAAUAUUCAAUUUAAUAUUACUCUGAUCUUCUGAGCUUUCAUUUUCUUCUUCAUUGCAGGAGUUUAUCCACCAUCUCAUCCUUUGCUUGGAUUGCAGUAUUAUACCUGUGGAAAACUUGAGUGGUUGCUUGGAGAUACGGAGAAUGCUGUAAAA